AAGAGUCUGUAAGGAGAGAAAGUCACGGGAGAGCGCUAUUUAAAAGGGGAGGCUAAGGAAAGUGUAAAUGGGCCCUUCUGAAUGAUACCUCCUCCGGAAGAAGCGUCGUCCCUCCUGUUGUCUUUCCAUCCAGCAAGCAACUGCGGAGCUACACGUUUGCUGCUGUCACACCAUGCCUACAUCAGGUCUUUUCCCUCGGCCCUGUCUAAACUCUUUGGGCUGCACAGCUCCUCCGCCCUGUGUUAAGCCAGCUCUGAUUUGUAUCCACCAAACCCAAAAUUGCAGCAUGUAGUUGUCAAAACCAGCAUUCAAAUCCACACUCACAAGAGACAAAGAGCGCACAGAACAUCCUACAGCAAUUCUGCCCGAAGAAGCACUCGCCUUCACUUUCCACGCUAACAGAGGAAGGACAGGAAAUAGCAUUUAUUUUUUGUGUUGAGCGAGACAUUUAAAAAUCUCAUUCAUUCCAAACCUAGAAGGAGAGUUACAAUUUUGAAUAUCUAACAAGGAGGGAACAAAAAUCAAAGUCUAAAGGAUUUUUCUGUACUGAAUGGACAGAGUGCAACAGAGCUUUUUUUUUUCUUUUUUUU